rnacentral:rRNA from 1 species
ACNNGAGUACUAUGAAUAUCUAAAGAUUUAAAACUCAAAGAACUUGGCGGUGUUUUAGACCACUCAGGGGAACCUGUCUCGUAAUCGACAAUCCACGUUGUACCUGACCUUUUUUGUUUUCAGUUUGUAUACCGUUGUCGUCAGGUAACUUUUUAGAAAUUAGAAGUUAGCAGCAGAAAUAUUAGUGAUUUAGUACGUCAAAUCAAGGUGCAGCUAAUAAAAAGGGGAGGAUGGGUUACAAUUAUUUGAUUUAUAAUAACGGAUAAACAUAUGAAUGUAUGUUAAAUUAUAAGGCGGACUUGAAAGUAAAUUAGAAUAUGUAAGUAAUUUGAAUAGGGCUCUGAAACGUGU